UUUUUUUUUUUUUUUAGCAGUCUUCCACCUUGCCUGGAAAAUCAAGUUAUUGAGCUUUUAUGAAUCUUCCAGCAAAUAAAGAACAAAAUAAAAUUGGUACUUUUACCCAGUGACGUGAAUUGAUUAGCCAUGGCAGAAGAUCCACAAAUGUCAUUGUCCCAAAUAUGAGUCCCUAAGACAUGAAAAAACAUGUUCUUACGUAGUCACCUCACAUAUUUUCUUGAGGAAGGGAAGAACUCUAUCUACAUGUAUCUGGAUCUGUAUGUGCUACUUUCUUGGGAAAUUACCCUGCAUCUUGACUGCUCUAUUUCCUCUUGUCCUGUAGACUCACUCACUCCUCUCAGCCAUCUAAUUCCUGAUUGAUUCAGAAAUUCUAAAGAAUGUGGCCAUAAAUCAAAUGCAGUAUCUCCCUCUUCCUUUUUUUAGAUAUUAAAUUACUUGGAUUUUUGUAUAGAUUUUUGUAUAACAGGUGUAUAUCUAUGAUAUGUUUAAUGUGUACAAAAUUAAGCAACAUAAAAAUAAAGUAAAUUGCAAUUCAAAAAAAAAAAAAAAAAAAAAAAAAGAAUGUGGCCAUGAAGAUUUUCCUCUUAGCACCCCUUCCAUGGGCAUGCUACAAACCUCCAGAAUAUCACUGGCAGAGUAUCACUGGCUCUCUCCAGUCUAAUCUGGUCAUUAAUGCCUUCUGGGAAGAAAGACCAAAUGACAUUCACACACAGGAAGAUGUGAUUGUCAGAGCUAACACAGUUUCUCAUAUUUCUGUCAUCUCCACUCCUCCCAGAAUAAUACUUGAAGCUCAACUCCCACCACCUUCUAGCCACUCUAUUCCAGUUAGGGUAUCCUAGUCUGCUUAACACAAGGCAAGCUUUUGUAUGUGGUCAUGACAAUUGUUUAGGUGCUUCCUUCCACGCUCAAAAGUGAACUAGUAAGGAAAAUAAAUUAUAUGAUCGUCCUAAUUCUAGUCCAGUUCAUAAGCAAAGCCUGAUAAAUAAAUUAUUUAACUGUAUUUUUUUUCUCAUCAUUGAGUCAGUCUUAGUGUCAAGCCAUACUCCUUUUAAUUUGGUGCACCCCAACAUGUGUGGAGGCCUUCUCUAAUUCUAAGACUCCUUUACUGCCAGACAGAACCUCAACCUGAGGCAUCACAAUUCCCAGAUUUCCAUGUAGUCCUAAUUCAUAGUUUUUCAUGUCCAUAUUCAUUUCAGUUCAUAGGAUUAAAUUUUGACUUUGAUUCUUAAUUCCUUGGUAGAUUUGUUAACUUAUCUAAUAUUCUAAUUUUUCUUCAAUCCUGGAGGUUGACUAUAAACCCUAGCUAGUACCUGUCUUUCUGGGAAAGACUUCAAUCCAUACUUGUUGGCUCCAUAUGAAGAAUAUCAACUUAUUAUCCAUCCCAUAUUUUUACACUGAACCCCCAUUUGAAAUAAAUGACUAUCAUUUGCUGAACCCAAUGUCCUAGAAGCAGUCAUUAACUGGAUUAUGUUCCAGGUAGUUUUGUAAAAGGGGGGUCUGUUUCAGACUACAAACUACCCCUAAACCUGGAAAACUAACCUCAACAGAUUGCCCAUAUUCCUUAGUCUUACUUGGUGUCAGGUUUUUGGAAGGAUGGAGGCUACCAAACUUACCUGGUCAAAUGAACCAACUUGCCAAACAAAAGCUUGCCCAAAUCUCAAUAAUACUUAGUUAUCUGGAUAACACACCCAAAAAACAGUUAAAAGGGGGCAAAUAUCAAAAGUAUUAUUUCAUUAUAUAAUUGUUUUUAUUGCUUUUCCCUUCUUGGUAUACAACAAGACAUAGCUCAAAUUCAGUGUGGUUUUAAGAAACGAAAUAUAUACUUAAAACUAACUACUGAAUCUCUACUGUGUCAUUCUGGGCUAGGUUCAGUUUUGGAUAUAGGGAUAAACAUGGCACAUAAACAAUCCAUGGCAACUUCCAGUCUGGUAGAGUCUUGUUAAUUUAAUAUAUACUUUUUCAUUUGUAGGGCUGAUUUUGUAUGCCCAUGCAGCAGAUGCAGAUAUGGAUAAAAAAAACUCCAUCUGCCCAGGAUUCUAGUCAUAAUUAAAUGAGUCACUUACAAGGCUGAGGAAAAAUCACAGGAAAAUCACAAACUUGUCAAAGAAGCUGUUUAAUAGUGUGACAAUAAAAUUCCUCUCCCUUAUGUUGAUUAGUGAAGGAAAAACAACCACAGAGCAUAAAUAGUCUGUGACUGCUGGCAUCAAAUACAGUUAAAGGAUGAAAAACAAUAGGCAACCUCUAACUAAACAGAGUGACAACUGCUCUUGAAUAAAUCUAUUACAUUAAACUGACGGUUUGGGAUGAUAAGAUUUUAGAGGAGGUUUUUUUUCUUCUUCUUCCCACUUGUUUCCCCAUGUUCAAUGGUGAAAAGGAAGUACAUUUCUUAAGUUUUGGGGAGUUUGAAUUUAUUUCAAAAUCUGAAAUCUACUCAGCUAGCUUUAAAGGAGCGUAAUAAAGAGCUUGGGGUCACAGAACCAGAAAAUUCUGAAUUUGAUUCCCAGCACAGUGAUUCAAAUAAAAUAACCUGUCCAAGACAACUGGUUGAAUAUAAUUCCUGUAGCCCUCUGAAUGUGUAUCUCUUCUUGAGCAGUGAGUUUUCUUGCUGUUCCCAUUUUAGUGAUAGUACUACUUCUUCCUUUCAAAAACUAUUCUACUUUUCCCUUCUAGGGUAUGCCAAACCAAGCCAGACCAAACCAAACAAAAAAAUUCUCUCCAUCCAUUCAAUCCAUAACCACUUUUCAAGGGUGGGAUCACAAGUUAUAUAUGCUUUAUUAAUAUUUUCAAUGGAUUUCAUUAAAGCCAGUACUAGGUACUGACUUAGAAGAAUAUUGGUUUGUUGUUUAACAGGUUUAUGUGAAGGCCUUAGAAGGAUUUUCAUAGUGGUAGAAAUAUUACUCUACUUCAGCUUUACAU
rnacentral:lncRNA from 1 species